UACGGAGGGUGCGAGCGUUAAUCGGAAUUACUGGGCGUAAAGCGCACGCAGGCGGUUUGUUAAGCUAGAUGUGAAAGCCCCGGGCUCAACCUGGGAUGGUCAUUUAGAACUGGCAGACUAGAGUCUUGGAGAGGGGAGUGGAAUUCCAGGUGUAGCGGUGAAAUGCGUAGAUAUCUGGAGGAACAUCAGUAGCGAAGGCGACUCCCUGGCCAAAGACUGACGCUCAUGUGCGAAAGUGUGGGUAGCGAACAGG
rnacentral:rRNA from 1 species